ACUGUGGGUGGCUCUUUUAUGGGGCAGGAAGGACUAUUUCCAGGAUGUUUGCUCUUAUUUUGGCCCUCCUCCUCUUUCUCGCCCUAUUGACCUGCCAGGAGGAACUUCCACAGCCUCCUUCUGGAACUUCUGAGGAAAGACGACACACCCUUGACCUGACAGAUUUCCGAAUGGCUGGCCGUGAACGUCUUGCGGAUGUGCAUUACGGUCUGUGAGCGAGGGAAAGGGUUAUCUUAGUUUGGGAGAUGAAUUAAAAAAAGAAAAAAAGAGCCAAGCCAAAGCUUUUCGAGGGGGCAAAAUAGCUCCGUGCUCUUAGUAGUCUGCAGCUUGGGAGAGAGAAGAUGGUAUCUGAAAGAGAAUGAGAUACAGAAAGGGAAACAACGACUUGCCAAGAACAUCCCU